CCUACGGGCGGCAGCAGUGAGGAAUAUUGGUCAAUGGACGAGAGACUGAACCAGCCAAGUAGCGUGAAGGAUGACUGCCCUAUGGGUUGUAAACUUCGUUUAUAUGGGAAUAAAAUGUUCCACGUGUGGGAUUUUGUAUGUACCAUAUGAAUAAGGAUCGGCGAACUCCGUGCAAGCAGCCGCGGUAAUACGGGGGGUCCGAGCGUUAUCCGGAUUUAUUGGGGUUAAAGGGAGCGUAGGUGGAUUGGUAAGUCAGUUGUGAAAGUUUGCGGCUCAACCGUAAAAUUGCAGUUGAAACUGGCAGUCUUGAGUACAGUAGAGGUGGGCGGAAUUCGUGGUGUAGCGGUGAAAUGCUUAGAUAUCACGAAGAACUCCGAUUGCGAAGGCAGCUCACUGGACUGCAACUGACACUGAGGCUCGAAAGUGUGGGUAUCAAACAGGAUUAGAUACCCGUGUAGUC
rnacentral:rRNA from 1 species